AUGUUUAAUAAAGGCAGGUGCAGACAUAGGAUAGCAGUCAUCUGUUAUCAGAUCAGAUCAUGCAUUUGAAAUUGGCAGCAGAGUCACGUAACACACUCACAGUAUUUGAGAUAUAUUUAAGAAGGGAAUGAGUGUGACUUCUGAGUGUGAAUUCUGCUCAGCUGUAGUGUUGAACUUCACUGUUAACAGAAUUCUGCUAUAACUAGCCAGAAUGCAAUGCAACCACAUGGCCUACUAUAGCACCACUCUAUUGCAAUGGCACUCGUCAGUCUCCUAUCAAUAUUGUGACUGCUGAUGUGAAGACUGAUAGUAACCUGACAGCCUUCAGCUUCAAUGGCUUUAAUGACAGCUCCACCUUCAUAAACAUUGACAACACUGGAAAGUCAGGACAGUGAUCCCAAGCAUACCAGCAAAUUGAUAUCUGAAUGGCUAAAGAAGAAAAAUAUCAAGGUGUUGGAACGGCCAAGUUAAAUUCCAGACCUCAAUCCCACUGAGAUGCUGUGGAGGGAUCUUAAGAAAGCUGUGUAUAAACGAAUGCCCUCAAACAACAAUGAACUGAAGCUACUGUAUGCACAUAGUAAAUCUUAAGGCUGAUGUAUGCGUGGCUGCUGCCAAUGACUCAAGAGCAUAUGCUGUUCUUGGUUUCUUCAUUGAAAUAAGUCCUUGCUUUACCCUUACACAGUUGCCUUGUUUCCUUGGAAACUUGUAGUUAUUACAUUGUGGCUCUUUAUUAUAUUCUUAGGCAACCAAUGACAGUGGCAAACCAGAGAGCUGGAAGAACCUCACCUCAUUCUUAUCAAAAAUUCCUAAAAAAGGUGACUCACUGGACAUUAUGAAUCAACUUACUGUAGAUAGUCUGCUUCAAGGAGUGGACCGGACUAAAUAUUACCAUUACCUUGGCUCUCUGACUACGUUUAAGUUAAAUAACUAAAUUGCAUUUAUAAUAAAAAAUAAAAAAUUGUUUUUUGAAAAAAACUCAACUAGGCCACCCUGGUAAAUUUGUCCAGAGAAUGAAAUAAGUCCAGGUCUUAGUCUACAUCUCAAUGUUCUUUGUGCAGUAGAAGGUUAAAAUUACAAAAUUAAAAUCUUUGGAGUCCCAAUCAUGGAACCACCUCAGCUAAAGGCUGUAGCCCAAAUCCGUUACACUGAUGCACCAAAUAUGCAGUAAUUGUGUCAAGUCUUAAAUAAUUAGCAAGAAAGAGACAAAAAAUAAAUAAAUAAAAACAUACACAUGCACAACUAAAAAAACUCACAGGGUUGAGGCUUACCAAGGGGGGACCCCACACAGGCCACUUAAGACCAAAAAGGCUUCAAGAAGACGGAAAUACCACUUUAAAACACACACUCAUGCACCCACCGAGUGUCCAACCUGCACACACACUCGAAAUAUAGAGUGUGUAACACAGCACAUGUGAUCAGGCCUAAUUUCUGCCAUACAGCCUCAGCUCCUGAAAGAAAAAAAUACACACAAUUGAACAUUAAUAAUUAGAAAAACGUGAGCUCAUACACAGUAGAAGACUACACCUCCCAUAAAAGGUGCAUUCAGGCCUACACUAAGUGACUCACUGCACAAAAGUGCUGCUGGUCCAAAUGCACCAUGCAGGUCAUAAUUCCAACAUAAAAGAAAUACAAACAAAACAUACAAAGCAGAUGAAGCACAAACAAACAAUAGUUUUACAAACAAAUGCAAAUCUCACAUUUAAACAAAACAUACAUACAUCGGGUAAAAUGGCGCUCACCAGCUAAAUAAACAAAACAAAAGCAGCCACAAUUACACCACUCAAAAUAGACAGUAGAUAGCAACACAACUAAAGCUAUUAUAAUGACAUUAACUGUAAACACCAAAAUGGCCACGAACAGGACAAUUCCUGAACAGGACAGCGACAAUUCCUUGCACGCACAUGUUCAAUAAUAUGGGAGGGGGGAACCCUCAGUCAACCUAGAAAAGAGCACACAUUACUAAUCCAUGCAGUCUAAAGCACGACCACACUCAUGCUGAAACACGAAAUCAGGCUUACCCCACCAAACAAGGGCGUAAUCAUGGUAUGGACAUGGGGGGUGUCCAAGCCCCAACAUCCAAAGUUUGAUACUGAAAAUGUGCAUAUUUGGAACAGUUUUAGGAUUACAGUAACCGUUUGAAUUCACAUGAUUCACUGUGGGGUGCUGUGGAUGUCCCAUGGGCAGAUGUAGUCUCUGCUCCAUAACCUACCGUGAAACCUACCAUACCAAGUAUAGGUGAGCUAAGAUGUGUGCAGGCAAACCACACACGCUAACAUUUAAACACACAAUAACGACUUUUAAACAAACUCAGAAAGGAUGGCUACCUAUGAAACUAAAUUCAACAUUAUAUAUAUUGUAAAUCCAAGCAAAGGUGUUCAAAGGGAAAACAUUUAAAGAAAUUUUCUAAGAAUGUGAUACAAAGAUGUAGAAUCUUUACAGACACAUGCAAGCAGGCUACUUCCGAUUCACCUCUUACAAAGUAGUGAAAAUACUUUUAUGAAAAUACCUUUAGUGAAAAUACUUAAUUUACUCAAAUAUUUUUCUAUUUUACAAGACCCACUAGAUGGUGCUAAAAUGCAAGAAAUCGCACCUGCCAAAUAGAAUUAUGCUUUUUCCAGUAGUAGCAAACAGAAUAAUUUCUAAUGGGUACAAAUUACAUAUCCAAAAUAUGUUUAUAUAAAUGAUUUGACUACAACAACCAACGCUGUACUUGAACAUGACAGAUUAUUCCUUUAUCAACGAUAAAAAAAUUUUUUUUAAAAAUCGCAAUAGACUUCCAAUAGAUGUCCAACUGCAUUGUGACCAGGUACCAUUAUUUUCUCAGAAGAGCAAUGACUGACUUAGACGAUUAUUUUAAUUUGAUAAACUGAAUAUUCUGUUUGUGUAACUGCUGUUAUUUAUUAUGUAACCAAUAUAUAUCGCAAACUGCCAUAACUAGUUCUGAAUGAAUAACUACAAUAUGGCCACAACUCAGACGUUAGUUCCAUGUCUGUCGUUGCCAAGCUAGCACAUCUCAGCAUUAUGCUGAGCCUUAUAUUUGUAAAAUCACUUAGUUGUCCGAAUGUAGUGUAAAGGAACAAAAUGCUGUGCAACUUUCCUCACUUUCACUCGCAUUUAUAACAGUCUGUCACAACGUAAAGGUUCACAACGAACUCGGCGGGAGGAUAUGCAAGUGAAUGUAACGUUAAUGGUCAAAAACUGGAACUGACGUUAGCCUAGCCUACUUCAUGGGUGUGAAAUAUCAAAAGUUAAUUGACGUUAAGAACAAACCAAGCCAUGGUAUGAUGCCUUCUGUACUUAGCUAAGGUUAACUACUAUUUAGGUAUCUAGUUACUUACUGUCUGAAAAAAAGCUUGUAUGUUCUGCUACACUUUUCUACACUUGGCUGUGGUCUCCAUUUCUUACAGACUGAACUGCUAAAAUAUAUCAACGAAUUUGAGUUGAGUAUGGGCGCAACCAAGUGUACAAUUGGAGGUGGGGGCACACACCUAUUUUCCUUUACAAAUGACAAAAUAGACAUAAAUGAAUAGAAUAGAUGAAGAAAAGACAGAUCCAUUGGUAGGGUUCACUAAAAGGGUAUAUAGAAAAUAUUUUCUACUGUAUAUUGGGCAUUCCCAAAGAAUGCGUAGUUACGCCCAUGCCUCCACAGAAAUUAGUUUGGCGUCCCAACAAACGUUGCUCAGAGGGUGGACUUCAUUCACAUAUUCUUCAGAGACCACAGCCCACUGGCUAGCUAGGGUGAUUAAACCUAAGCACUCAAAUUCAAUGACCCUUAAAUUAGCCUCCCUGCUAGCAACACAGCCCAAAACUCUACAAAUGAGUAUAACCCACCUGAAAAUGAGAGCCAUAUACAAGACGGAUGAAGAAGAUGCUCCGGAGGGGGGGUAUGGAUAAAAAUACCGUGCUUAUGCUGAUACUGCAGUUGCAAACCUAAUAUAUCAAACACAUUUACUUACACACGUAAAUAUUUAGCAAAACAUCCACCUACAUGCUCCCUAGCUGCUACCACUUCAUCGCUGCAGGAAGCACACCCAAAAGUCAAUCGGACAUGACGCACGCAGUGCAGUACCCAAUUAGACCUUAAAUAGGGCGUGAUCACCACUGAUUGGGCUGCACCCUCGUCACAGAUCAUGGGGAAGAAAAAACAACAGAUCGCCCAGCCACAGUCAGCGUGUUUACAUGGACAACAAUAAUCCACUAUUAACCCGAUUAAGACAGUACUCCGAUUGAGAAACUACCAUGUACACAGCAGUUUUUAAUUACCUUAAUCUGAUUAAGGUCAUACUCGAAGUAAACACAAAUCGAAUUAAGACCUGUGGAGCAUUCCUGUUUUAGUUGCAUUAUCAACGUGUAUUACAGACAUGUGCACACCUUAAUCACAUUAUUAACAUCGUGUCAGAGUUUUCACCACAUUGUGCGACAGGACACGUACACACACGGCAGCGCUCAACCAUUUUACAGCAAACAAGAGAACACGGCUGCGUCCCAAUCCGUGUACUUGCCUACUAUAGGCCUGUAGUAGGAUGAAAUACAUGUAUCUCGGCUACUAUAUAGACGGUAAAUACGCGGUUUGGGACGCAACACACGGCUUCAAGCAGUUGUCUAUUUACAGAUACAGCAUGACAAAUAAUUAACUGCACUUAAAGCGUUCUUAAUGUUUUUUAAAAAAACACCCAAAACUGUAUACGGUACCAUAACGAAGACGAACUGUAUGUUGAUACGUGAAAUUCUGGAGGGACGUUGGACAGCGUGGCGCAGUGAUGUAAUGACGUGUGCCGUUAAUCGAACUAUGUUCUAUAACAUGUUAAACGGGUACAUGAGAGGAGUAUUGUAAAAGCGACUCGUGUAAACACCUUAAUUACAAUACUGUCUUAUUCAGAAUAAGGUCAAUAAUUAGAUUACUGCUGUCCAUGUAAACAUAGUCACUGACAUGAUUGCAUCACAAAAAACCUGCAGAUUUUCAGGUGCACUUUCAUGCUGGGAUCCACAUAACAAUAACGUGUAUUUAAGCAACUUAUUGUAAAAUCAUAAAUUAUGAUAAAAUAGUUUUCUUGGAAUGCUCCUCUGUUCACUUUUUAGUCUUCAUCUACUCUUUUUGUUUGUUUGUGUGGUGCCACAACACUGUCCAUUUGUUAAGCAGUAUUUUAAAAAGUUUGCAAUUUUUACAAAGAAAUUGCUAUCACACUGAAAACACUCACUCCCUGCAAUCACUCCCUUUCCCCCAAACUGAUCCCAGUGAACAUCAUGAAUAUUUUCAGCAAGUGAAAAACAGCUGGAUGAUAUGCUUCUUCAACCAAAUGAUCUUGACUAUGCUGCAUCCCACAGUCUGACAUGGCUACUAUAUUUUUAGAAUAAAUGUUGGAAUACUGGGAUUUAUAAGAUGACCGCAAAAGCAACUCCAUGUGUAAAGACCAUAGUUAUAUUGUGCAAUAUAAUUUCAUCUAAAAUGAGGGAAAUAGUUAUACCAAAUUACAUAAACUAUAUCUUAUCGGGCAUGUAGUGGAACAGUGAGCAGCACUGCUUUCUCACAGCUACAGGUUCCACAGUUCAAUGUUUAGCACAAUUUACUCCUCAUGUGGAGUUUCUGUGCAUGUUCUCUCCAUGUCCACGUGGGUUUCUUUUGGGUUCUCCAGCUUCCUUUCGUCUAACAAAAAUAUGUCAGUUGGUGGAUUGGCAGAGAUAAAUUGCCACUAGGUAUGUGAAUGGUGCCCUGUUAUGACCUGGCUUCCAAUCCAGGGUGUAUUAUUAUUAUUAUUAUUAUUAUUAUUAUUAUUAUUAUUAUUAUUAUUUCCCCAAUGAGUGAUCAGUAAAGAUCUUAUAUAAUCACUUUAUAUAUGCAUUUAAAGCCCCUACAAUCAUUUUGCGGCAGUAGCAUGAGGCAAGCAAAUCUUAAGAUGUCAAUAGAAUGUUUGGGUAUUCCGUAGCAUUAGAAUUUCCCUUCUCUGAAACUAAGUGACCAAAACCUGUUCCAACAUGUUUACAAUACAAGCUC